GAUGAACGCUGGCGGCGUGCCUAACACAUGCAAGUCGAGCGGCAGCGCGGGGUGCUUGCACCCUGUCGGCGAGCGGCGGACGGCUGAGUAACGCGUGGGAACGUCCCCAAAGUGAGGAAUAACUGCCCGAAAGGGUAGCUAAUACCGCAUAUUAUCUUCGGAUCAAAGGAUUUAUCCGCUUUGUGAGCGGCUCGCGUCGUAUUAGGUAGUUUGUGAGGUAAUGGCGCACCAAGCCGACGAUCCGUAGCUGGUCUGAGAGGAUGACCAGCCAGACUGGAACUGGGACACGGUCCAGACUCCUACGGGAGGCAGCAGUGAGGAAUCUUCCACAAUGGGCGAAAGCCUGAUGGAGCAACGGCGCGUGCAGGACGAAGGCCUUCGGGUUGUAAACUGCUUUUAUAAGUGAGGAAUAUGACGGUAACUUAUGAAUAAGGAUCGGCUAACUACGUG
rnacentral:rRNA from 1 species